rnacentral:rRNA from 1 species
UGAGGAAUAUUGGUCAAUGGACGAGAGUCUGAACCAGCCAAAUCGCGUGAAGGAAGACUGCCCUACGGGUUGUAAACUUCUUUUGUACAGGAAUAAAAGACAUUACGUGUAAUGUAUUGCAUGUACUGUACGAAUAAGCAUCGGCUAACUCCGUGCCAGCAGCCGCGGUAAUACGGAGGAUGCGAGCGUUAUCCGGCUUUAUUGGGUUUAAAGGGUGCGCAGGCGGGAUUUUAAGUCAGCGGUGAAAUUUUCAGGCUCAACCUGAACACUGCCGUUGAAACUGGGAUUCUUGAGCAUGGAUGAAGUAGGCGGAAUUCGUUGUGUAGCGGUGACAUGCGUAGAUAUAACGAGGAACUCCGAUUGCGUAGGCAGCUUACUAAGCCAUAACUGACGCUCAAGCACGAAAGCGUGGGGAUCAAACA